AGCGUGACAAUAUUUUCCCAAAAUAUAUUAUCAAAUAUUAUAUUAAAGAUGUCCAAUUCUUUUUUGUUUUCACCUAACUAACUGAUUUAAAGUUGCCACUUUACUUUACUCAACAACGCUUAACAUUCUUCUCGAAGAAGUUUCUAAUAUUUUUCAUGGAAAUAUACAGCCAAAAAAAAGCUUUUGUCGCAUGUAGGCCGAAAAACGUACAAAGUUUCAUGCACGUAUUGUUUAUGUUUAGCCCGAUCCACCUGCCAUAUCUCUAACACGACAUGGCAGAUUAAGGGGUUAAGAACAAAGUGUCGGCCCUGUGCUGUCCAUGUUUCGAGCUCGUGUACCUAUUUACAUCCACCACGUCGUUUCUUUGAACCGACUUCAAACUUGUAGACUGACGUAGAGUACAAGAGGCAACUACGAUUAUGACAGAGAGUGAAAAGCGACAAAGAGGCAACUUUGAUCUCGCAAAGAAUCAACAGUCGUUAAUUAGACACGUGCCAGCUACGUUUCACGAGGCAGCCUCGUAUUGUCUGUACGCAGUGAAAUUUGCCAAUGAUCCAACGUCAUGAUCCGCCACGGCGCGCGUAGGACGCUAAGAAUAUCCUGGAAGGUCCUGGCUACAGGGUGAGGAGGAUGACGAACCUUUUGGCGGGAGGACUGAGAUCAAGCCUGUUAUUAAAGAGACUCAACACGUUUAUGAUAUCGCGGCUGAAGAUUCACCGCGAUGUAUCUCUUUUCAUUUGGCACAUCCAUGAAGUCAGGCAAUUAAAUAAUUAUUGUUCGACAUGAAAUAAAAGAUGGAAGAAUUAUUGUCUGGAACAGUUACGAAUAACAUUGCAAUAGUAUUAUUACGAGAUGAUAAAAUAAAACUUCAUCUAUGAUACUAUGACAAUUAAGGGUUGAGAUGAUGCAUAUUAUCAGUGUGAAGGAAAAGUCAGUCGAAAUCCGUACCACGGCGAAUGUGUUAAAGGUAAUUCUACUUUAUUGUUAUUUUUCUUUAGGUAUUUAGAUACUUUAUUAUUAUUUUAUUUAAUAUUCGUGACAAAUUUAGAUCUCUCGCGACAUAAAUACUUUUUAUUGACGAACAACUUUGACAUAUUAACAUAUGCUUUAUUAUGAAAUAAAGGAUAUUCUAUAAAUAGACAUGGUAAGACAAGCGGCUUUAAAAGAUUGACUUAACAAAUUUAAUCCAAGUAUUCAACACGAUGUUUGACGCAAUAUUUCAUUUUUCCUGACGUCUAUGAAAUCUCAAAUUAAUCGCGUCAUGUUAGGAAACAAUAAGAUGGACGCAAAGGUCAUUUCGUAUAUUAAGAAUAUAUUAUGACGACGAUCCUUUCUGUUUUCACUUUUACCCAAAGCAAAACUUAAGCGUUCUAAUACCACAGAAAUGUAAAUGAAUGAAAUCUAAUUGUGAGUGGCACGUGCAGAACACACUUAGUAUGCUAAUGUAAUUCCACAUGGAACUACGAUCAAAGAUGUGUUUACAUAACAUUUCAAACAAAUAUUAACAUAAUUAAUUUACGUUUUGUUAUUAUGAUGGAAACGAAUAUUAAUCGAUAAUUUUACAAUACGAUAGCACAAUUAUCUAAUUUAGUUAAACGAUUUAA